UACGCAGGGGGCGAGCGUUGUCCGGAUUCAUUGGGCGUAAAGAGCUCGUAGGCGGCUUGGCAAGUCGGAUGUGAAAACUCCAGGCUCAACCUGGAGCCGCCAUUCGAUACUGCCAUGGCUAGAGUCCGGUAGGGGAGUGUGGAAUUCCCGGUGUAGCGGUGAAAUGCGCAGAUAUCGGGAGGAACACCGAUGGCGAAGGCAGCGCUCUGGGCCGGUACUGACGCUGAGGAGCGAAAGCGUGGGGAGCGAACAGG
rnacentral:rRNA from 1 species